rnacentral:rRNA from 1 species
UGCGACCUACGGGGGGCAGCAGUGGGGGAUAUUGGACAAUGGGGGGAACCCUGAUCCAGCGACGCCGCGUGAGUGAAGAAGUAGUUCGGUAUGUAAAGCUCUGUCAGCAGGGAAGAAAGAAAUGACGGUACCUGACCAAGAAGCCCCGGCUAACUACGUGCCAGCAGCCGCGGUAAUACGUAGGGGGCAAGCGUUAUCCGGAUUUAUUGGGUUUAAAGGGUGCGCAGGCGGAGGUGCAAGUCAGCGGUCAAAUUGCGGGGCUCAACCCCGUACUGCCGUUGAAACUGCAUCCCUUGAGUGCGCGA